CUCCAAUCGAUGGAGACAUUCAAUAAAAUUGGAACGAUAGAGAGAAGAUUAACACGACCCCUAUGCAAAGAUGACAUGCACAAAUCAGAAAUAGUAUCAAAAUUA